rnacentral:rRNA from 1 species
CGAGUCCGAGUCUCCACGGAGACGAAGUGGCGGUCAUCCAGCUUCCUAGAAAAGCUCUAACCACGUUAAUCUUUAGUUGCCUGUACCCGAAACCGACACAGGUAGGGGGGUAGAGAAUACCAAGGGGCGCGAGAUAACUCUCUCUAAGGAACUCGGCAAAAUGACCCCGUAACUUCGGGAGAAGGGGUACCACUGAGAAGUGGUCGCAGUGAAGAGGCCCAGGCGACUGUUUACCAAAAACACAGGUCUCCGCCAAGUCGCAAGACGAAGUAUGGGGGCUGACGCCUGCCCAGUGCCGGAAGGUUAAGGAAGUGGGUUAGGGAUUCGUCCCGAAGCUGACGACUGAAGCCCCGGUGAACGGCGGCCGUAACUAUAACGGUCCUAAGGUAGCGAAAUUCCUUGUCGGGUAAGUUCCGACCCGCACGAAAGGCGUAACGAUCUGGGCGCUGUCUCGGAGAGAGGCUCGGCGAAAUAGGAAUGUCUGUGAAGAUACGGACUACCUGCACCUGGACAGAAAGACCCUAUGAAGCUUUACUGUAGCUUGGAAUUGGGUUCGGGCUUGGUUUGCGCAGGAUAGGUGGGAGGCGAAGAAGAUUUGCUUGUGGGUGAAUCUGAGCCAACGGUGAGAUACCACUCUAACCAGGCUAGAAUUCUAACUUCAACCCGUCAACCGGGGGAAGGACAGUUUCCGGUGGGCAGUUUGACUGGGGCGGUCGCCUCCUAAAAGAUAACGGAGGCGCACAAAGGUUCCCUCAGGCUGGUUGGAAAUCAGCCAACGAGUGCAAAGGCAGAAGGGAGCUUGACUGCGAGACCUACAAGUCAAGCAGGGUGGAAACACGGUCUUAGUGAUCCGACGGCACCGAGUGGAAGGGCCGUCGCUCAACGGAUAAAAGUUACUCUAGGAUAACAGGCUGAUCUCCCCCAAGAGUUCACAUCGACGGGGAGGUUUGGCACCUCGAUGUCGGCUCAUCGCAACCUGGGGCGGAAGUACGUCCCAAGGGUUGGGCUGUUCGCCCAUUAAAGCGGUACGUGAGCUGGGUUCAGAACGUCGUGAGACAGUUCGGUCCAUAUCCGGUGUAGGCGCAAGAACAUUGAGAGGAGUCUUCCUUAGUACGAGAGGACCGGGAAGAACGCACCGCUGGUGUACCUGUUAUCGUGCCAACGGUAAACGCAGGGUAGCCAAGUGCGGAGUGGAUAACCGCUGAAAGCAUCUAAGUGGGAAGCCCACCUCAAGAUGAGUGUUCUCAUGGAGUAAUCCAGUAAGGUCACGGGAAGACGACCCGUUGAUAGGCGGUAGGUGGAAGUUCAGCAAUGGAUGAAGCCGAGCCGUACUAACAGACCGAGGGCUUGACC